rnacentral:lncRNA from 1 species
CAAAAAUGAUAAUAUAAUCUCGCUUCAAAUUCCAUUAUUUUUAUUUUUUCAAGCUUAAUUUUGAUUUUGUAGCUUUUUAAAAAAGGAUUCAUCGUUUGAAAGAUAAAUAUAUUGGUCAAGUGUAAUGACGAAGUAACGAUCGGUGCAUUUGAUUACCUGUACCUCAAUUAAUCAUCCCCUUCAAAGGUUGUUGUCAAUCAAAUCAUCCCUAAGUUUAAAAUAGCACCAAUUCAAACAAAGUAUGUGUAUUCAACGAGCCACGAGUUGAUGCAGUUUAUGCUCCCCUCCGUCAUCGUUAAUUGAAAUAGGCCGACAUACGGUCAGUUAGGUUGGUUAUAUCGAGUAAUGUCAUUUUAUUGGAAAUCUCUAUUAUGUUUUUUUUAGUCUCU